rnacentral:rRNA from 1 species
AGUGAACGCUGGCGGCGUGCUUAACACAUGCAAGUCGAACGAGAACGGGUUAUAGCUUGCUAUAAUUGUCAGCUAAGUGGCGCACGGGUGAGUAAUGUAUAGGUAAUAUGCCUCAUACUAAGGGAUAACAAAUGGAAACGUUUGCUAAUACCUUAUACUCCUUAUUAACAGAAGUUAAUAAGGGAAAGAUUUAUUGGUAAGAGAUUAGCCUGUAUUGUAUCAGUUAGUUGGUGGGGUAAUGGCUUACCAAGACUAUGACACAUAACUGGUUUGAGAGGAGAAUCAGUCACACUGGAACUGAGACACGGUCCAGACUCCUACGGGAGGCAGCAGUGGGGAAUAUUACACAAUGGACGAAAGUCUGAUGCAGCAACGCCGCGUGGAGGAUGACACAUUUCGGUGCGUAAACUCCUUUUAUAUGAGAAGAUAAUGACGGUAUUAUAUGAAUAAGCACCGGCUAACUCCGUGCCAGCCGCCGCCGUAA